rnacentral:pre_miRNA from 8 species
GGAAGCGGGUGCGAGGCGAGGGGUGCUAUCUGUGGUUGAGGACACGGCAAAUGAAACUGUCUCACACAGAAAUCGCACCCAUCUCCUCGGCCCGCCUU